GAUGAACGCUGGCGGCGUGCCUAAUACAUGCAAGUCGAGCGAACAGACGAGGAGCUUGCUCCUCUGACGUUAGCGGCGGACGGGUGAGUAACACGUGGAUAACCUACCUAUAAGACUGGGAUAACUUCGGGAAACCGGAGCUAAUACCGGAUAAUAUAUUGAACCGCAUGGUUCAAUAGUGAAAGACGGUUUUGCUGUCACUUAUAGAUGGAUCCGCGCCGCAUUAGCUAGUUGGUAAGGUAACGGCUUACCAAGGCAACGAUGCGUAGCCGACCUGAGAGGGUGAUCGACCACACUGGAACUGAGACACGGUCCAGACUCCUACGGGAGGCAGCAGUAGGGAAUCUUCCGCAAUGGGCGAAAGCCUGACGGAGCAACGCCGCGUGAGUGAUGAAGGUCUUCGGAUCGUAAAACUCUGUUAUUAGGGAAGAACAAAUGUGUAAGUAACUAUGCACGUCUUGACGGUACCUAAACAGAAAGCCACGGCUAACUACGUG
rnacentral:rRNA from 1 species